rnacentral:misc_RNA from 1 species
GUGAAUCAUCGAAUCUUUGAACGCACAUUGCACCCUCUGGUAUUCCGGAGGGUAUGCCUGUUCGAGCGUCAUUUCAACCCUCAAGCACUGCUUGGCAUUGGAUGCUACCAUAUGUGGUACAUCUUAAAAGCAUUGGCGACAGCACUUCAGCUUCUAGCGUAGUAAAUUUCUCGCUCUGGGGCUUGGAUGUUUGCCUGCCAGAAUCGUCAUUUCAAUGGUUGACCUCGGAUCAGGUAGGGAUACCCGCUGAACUUAAGCAUAUCAAUAAGCGGAGGA